ACCUCGCGAGGCUGCGGCUGGGGCAGAAAUCCGUCUCUGUGAGCGGAGGAGGGUGCUGCUUAUGCGAGAGCAGGUUUUGGGAGCUCACUAAAGCAGGGUCUCACUCUGUUGCUCAGGCUGGAGUGCAGUGGUAUGAUCAUGGUUCACUGCAGCCUCAAUCUCCCAGGCUCAAGCAAACCUCCACGUCAGCCUCCCAAGUAGCUGGGACCACAGGUCCCUGAUUCUGGUCUUGAAUAGCGGAGGAGGAAAAGAAGAAAUGAUGGGGGAAAAGCAAAGAAGCCAUUUAUGCAUCCCUCCCUAAUUCAGUAUCCGAGCAUGAGGGAGUGUCAAGCUAGUGGGGAAGAAGAGAGGGUUUAGUUUUGAAUGAAGUUAGGAGUUUUUAUUAUUGCACUGAACUAAAUAGGCAUUUUACUAAAGUCAAGACUGUUCUUGUUAUUUAAAGGAACGGGAUCAUCAAUGGAACUCUCUGAGAUUUCAUCCAGAGGCUGGGAAAGAACAUUCAUGGUAGCUUUUAUUAUUAUUUUCAUUAUUGUAAGUUGAGGAAGAGAAAACCCAGGAAAAUAUACAAACAGUGAUUGGAAUUAAUAACAGAGUAAAACAAGGUGGCUGCAUAAAAGGUCAAUAUUCAAAAUCAAUUUUGUUAUUACUUACCAGCAACAUAAUUUUUUUUUUUUUUUUUUUUUGAGACAGAGUUUCACUCUUGUUGCCCAGGCUGGAGUGCAACGGUGUGAUCUUGGCUCACUGCAACCUCCGCCUCCCGGGUUCAAGCGAUUCUCCUGCCUCAGCCUCCUGAGUAGCUGGGAUUACAGGCAUGCACCGCCACACCUGGCUAAUUUUGUAUUUUUAGUAGAGAUGGAGUUUCACCAUGUUGGUCAGGCUGGUCUCGAACUCCUGACCUCAGGUGAUCUGCCCGCCUCAGCAUCCCAAAAUGCUGGGAUUAUAGGCAUGAGCCACCACACCUGGCCAGCAACAUAAUCUUUCUUUAAAAAUAUACCUGUUCACGACUGAGGCUCAGGGAAAAGAAAAGGAAAAAAAAUACCAUCUACGGUAGCAACAAAAUACAAGAUUUUCAGAAUCAAUCUAACAAAAAAUGUACAAUAUGUACAGGAGAAAAUCCUGAAAUGUUACUGAAAAAAAUUAGGAAAUAUCAAUAAAUGGAGUGCUAUAUCAUAUUCCUGGAAGGAUUCAAUAGCAUAACAAUGUUAACUCCCCCAAAAUUGAUCUAGAAAUUCAAUUCUAUUCCAAUCAAAAUGCCAGCAGAGUAUUUGUGGGUGUGAUCUGAUGCUCUGAUUAUAUAAUUCAAAUAGAACAACAAGGAUCCAAGAAUAACCAGAACAAUUUUAAAGAACAAGGUGGGUGAACUACCUCUACCACAUAUUAAGUCUCAUUAUGAAAUACAGUUUUUAAGACAGCCUGGCAUUAGAGUAAGGACAGAAAAACAAAAGAAUAAAACAACAUAAAGAGAGAAACACGAUAGAAAAAGAAUAUACAAAACGGAAACAGACCCAAACAUAUAAAGAAACUUGACAGGUGACAGAGCAGCAUUAACUAUUCCUGGACUGAUUAUCCAUGUGGAAAAAGUUAAUCAGAUUUCCACCUCAUACAUACAAAUUUAUUUAUAUAAAAUAAAUUCCAGAUGAAUUAAACCUAAAUGUGAAAAGCAAAACUUUGAAAAUACAGGAAUAUGUAAAAACAUAUAUGUAUGAUCCACAUAUAUGAUAAAAUGGAGGAUAGCAGGGCACAGCAGCAUGCACCUGUAGUCCUGCCUCAGCCUCUUUAGUAGGUGAGGUAGCUGAGGCAGAAGAAUCACUUGAGCCCAGGAAUUCGAGGCCGGCUUGGGCAACAUAGCAAGACCCAGUCUCUAAAAACAAUUU